AUUGAACGCUGGCGGCAUGCUUUACACAUGCAAGUCGAACGGCAGCACGGACUUCGGUCUGGUGGCGAGUGGCGAACGGGUGAGUAAUACAUCGGAACGUGCCCAGUUGUGGGGGAUAACUACUCGAAAGAGUAGCUAAUACCGCAUGAGAACUGAGGUUGAAAGCAGGGGAUCGUAAGACCUUGCGCAACUGGAGCGGCCGAUGGCAGAUUCGGUAGUUGGUGGGAUAAAAGCUUACCAAGCCGACGAUCUGUAGCUGGUCUGAGAAGACGAACAGGCAAGUCAGUACUGAGACACGGAGCAGACUCCAUCAGGACGCAGCGGAUGAGAAUUUUGGUCAAUGGGCGAAAGCCUGAUCCAGCAAUGCCUCGUGCAGGGUGAAGCCCCUUGGGGUGUAAACUGCUUUUGUACGGAACGAAAAGCUGCGGGCUAAUCCCCUGGCGUCAUGACGGUACCGUAAGAAUAAGCGCCGGUUAAGAGCGAGGCAGCCGCCGCCGUAAGAC
rnacentral:rRNA from 1 species